rnacentral:rRNA from 1 species
AGUGAACGCUGGCGGUAGGCCUAACACAUGCGAGUCGAACGGCAGCACAGUAAGAGCUUGCUCUUACGGGUGGCGAGUGGCGGACGGGUGAGGAAUACAUCGGAAUCUACUUUUUCGUGGGGGAUAACGUAGGGAAACUUACGCUAAUACCGCAUACGACCUACGGGUGAAAGCAGGGGAUCUUCGGACCUUGCGCGAUUGAAUGAGCCGAUGUCGGAUUAGCUAGUUGGCGGGGUAAAGGCCCACCAAGGCGACGAUCCGUAGCUGGUCUGAGAGGAUGAUCAGCCACACUGGAACUGAGACACGGCCCAGACUCCUACGGGAGGCAGCAGUGGGGAAUAUUGGACAAUGGGCGCAAGCCUGAUCCAGCCAUACCGCGUGAGUGAAGAAGGCCUUCGGGUUGUAAAGCCCUUUUGUAGGGAAAGAAAAGCAGCAGGUUAAUACCCCGCUGUUCUGACGGUACCCAAAGAAUAAGCACCGGCUAACUUCGUG